CGACCGGCGCACGGGUGAGUAACGCGUAUCCAACCUGCCCACCACUUGGGGAUAACCUUGCGAAAGUAAGACUAGUACCCAAUGAUAUCUCUAGAAGACAUCUGAAAGAGAUUAAAGAUUUAUCGGUGAUGGAUGGGGAUGCGUCUGAUUAGCUUGUUGGCGGGGUAACGGCCCACCAAGGCAACGAUCAGUAGGGGUUCUGAGAGGAAGGUCCCCCACAUUGGAACUGAGACACGGUCCAA
rnacentral:rRNA from 1 species